GACGAACGCUGGCGGCGUGCUUAACACAUGCAAGUCGAACGGAAAGGCCCUGCUUUUGUGGGGUGCUCGAGUGGCGAACGGGUGAGUAACACGUGAGUAACCUGCCCUUGACUUUGGGAUAACUUCUGGAAACUGGGACUAAUACCGGAUAGGAGCUCCUGCUGCAUGGUGGGGGUUGGAAAGUUUCGGCGGUUGGGGAUGGACUCGCGGCUUAUCAGCUUGUUGGUGGGGUAGUGGCUUACCAAGGCUUUGACGGGUAGCCGGCCUGAGAGGGUGACCGGCCACAUUGGGACUGAGAUACGGCCCAGACUCCUACGGGAGGCAGCAGUGGGGAAUAUUGCACAAUGGGCGGAAGCCUGAUGCAGCAACGCCGCGUGCGGGAUGACGGCCUUCGGGUUGUAAACCGCUUUCGCCUGUGACGAAGCGUGAGUGACGGUAAUGGGUAAAGAAGCACCGGCUAACUACGUG
rnacentral:rRNA from 1 species